GAUGAACGCUGGCGGCGUGCCUAAUACAUGCAAGUCGAGCGAACAGAUGAGGAGCUUGCUCCUCUGACGUUAGCGGCGGACGGGUGAGUAACACGUGUAUAACCUACCUAUAAGACUGGGAUAACUUCGGGAAACCGGAGCUAAUACCGGAUAAUAUAUUGAACCGCAUGGUUCAAUAGUGAAAGACGGUUUUGCUGUCACUUAUAGAUGGAUCCGCGCCGCAUUAGCUAGUUGGUAAGGUAACGGCUUACCAAGGCAACGAUGCGUAGCCGACCUGAGAGGGUGAUCGGCCACACUGGAACUGAGACACGGUCCAUACUCCUACGGGAGGCAGCAGUAGGGAAUCUUCCGCAAUGGGCGAAAGCCUGACGGAGCAACGCCGCGUGAGUGAUGAAGGUCUUCGGAUCGUAAAACUCUGUUAUUAGGUAAGAACAAAUGUGUAAGUAACUAUGCACGUCUUGACGGUACCUAAUCAGAAAGCCACGGCUAACUACGUG
rnacentral:rRNA from 1 species